rnacentral:lncRNA from 1 species
CUUCCUCGAAUCGCCACUAGUGGCCGCUGUUGUCCAGCUGAAGGUUCUGCCCCGAGGAGGUGAAGAUAUGACCAUGGAGACCAGCUCACAGGGAGGGAGACACUACACCAGUUAAAUAUUCAGUUUUAAAAGCUACAUAAACCAGAGAAGAGACGGCACGACGGCAGCACGACGUUUUAUAAGCUACAUAAGCCAGAGAGAAGGCAUAGCACAACGACAUCACGACGGCAGCACGGCGACAGCAACUAUUAAUAAUAUUAUUAUUAACUUAUUCUCACAACUUUUUUUGCCUUAUUCAUAUUUUUAUUUGAUGUUAUUCUUUGAAUUUUUCAUUUCAGUUUUAUAAGCUAGAUAAGGCAGAGAGAAGAGACGGCACAACGGCAGCACAACGUUUUAUAAGGUAGAUAAGCCAGAGAGAAGGCAUAGCACAACGACAUCACGACGGCAGCACAACGGUAUCACAACUGUGUUAUUCUAGCAAGUUUUUUUGCCUUAUUUAUAUCAAUUUUUUUACGUUAUUUUAUUCAUUUUUGAUUUUUGAUUUCAGUUUUAUAAGCUAAGCUAGAGAGAAGAGACAGCACAAGGACAUCACGACGGCUGCACGGCGACAGCAACUAUUAAUAUUAUUAUUAACUUAUUCUCGCAACUUUUUUGCCUUAUUCAUAUUUUUAUUUGAUGUUAUUCUUUUAAUUUUUGAUUUUUCAUUUCAGUUUUAUAAGCUAGAUAAGGCAGAGAGAAGAGACGGCACAACGGCAGCACAACGG